rnacentral:rRNA from 1 species
CCUACGGGAGGCAGCAGUGGGGAAUAUUGGGCAAUGGGCGCAAGCCUGACCCAGCAACGCCGCGUGAAGGAAGAAGGCCCUCGGGUUGUAAACUUCUUUUGUCAGGGACGAAGCAAGUGACGGUACCUGACGAAUAAGCCACGGCUAACUACGUGCCAGCAGCCGCCGUAAUACGUAGGUGGCAAGCGUUAUCCGGAUGUACUGGGUGGAAAGGGCGUGUAGGCGGGAAAGCAAGUCAGAUGUGAAAACCACGGGCUCAACCUGUGGCCUGCAUUUGAUACUGGUUUUCUUGAGUACUGGAGAGGCAGACGGAAUUCCAAGUGUAGCGGUGAAAUGCGUAGAUAUUAGGAGGAACACCAGUGGCGAAGGCAGUCUGCUGGACAGCUACUGACGCUGAGGCGCGAAAGCGUGGGGAGCAAACAGGAUUAGAUACCCCAGUAGUC